rnacentral:rRNA from 1 species
GCUUGUCUCAAAGAUUAAGCCAUGCAUGUCUAAGUAUAAGCACUUAUACCGUGAAACUGCGAAUGGCUCAUUAUAUCAGUCUUAAUUUAAAUGAUAGUCCCUACUACUUGGAUAACCGUAGUAAUUCUAGAGCUAAUACAUGCGUCAAGUCCCUACCGCGCGAGCGGGAAGGAUGUGUUUAUUAGAUACAACCAACCCUUCGGGUCCCUGGUGAAUCAUAAUAACCGAACGAACCGCAUGCUUCGGCGGCGGUGGUUCAUUCAAGUUUCUGCCCUAUCAGCUUUCGAUGGUAGGGUAUUGGCCUACCAUGGCGUUAACGGGUAACGGAGAAUUAGGGUUCGAUUCCGGAGAGGGAGCCUGAGAGAUGGCUACCACAUCCAAGGAAGGCAGCAGG